UGUAAACACCGGACGCAGACGUGACGUGCAUUCAAAUAUUGGCGCAUGUAUGACGUAAAUUUGCACUGAGCCCGGCGGCAAGCACAACAAAUAUAUUUGGGAAUAGGACAACCUAGCUGCGAGCGCAGCGCAUGCCGCGUACAAUGUGAACGGGCCCUUAGGCUUUGCAUGUCAUUUUUGCUGACACAGCUAGAUGUUGUUUGUUUACUUCCGAGUGUGUCUGCCAUGACAGUGUCAUUACCGCCUCCUGAAAUGAUCUAGAGGCUGUAAUCUGUAGCCCCCUUCAUUCAGAGGGACACAGGUGUUUGGUGAGGACUGCUGAGAAGAUUGCCACCUACUGGCUUCCACGAUCAAUGCCAUCCGGAAAGAAAACAGGAAAGCAGCAGGGUUGUCACCAAGGCCCCCAAAAUAAACCAGAGACCCCCCCCUCUCUUGCCAAAAGAACACUCUCUCCAAACAUGUUCCUACCCGAGCCACUUCCUGGACUCCCGCGGUGUCUUCCUGCACCGGCUCAUCUGCUGCUGGUUAUUGGAGUGCAAGGUCACCUCUUCUGUGACCUGUGGUGACAGUGGAGAGCACAUCCCUGGUGGGCCCACAGGAAGCAGUUUGAUCUUUUGAUGAGGCCUUUGCCUUCAACUUCUCGGCUAAAGUGUGAUGGCCUGUUGCCGGAACGCUUCCAUCAAAUGAGCGACUAGUGUCAUAUAAAGAAACUUGUGCAACUAAGGAAAUAAAACCUUACAGAGUUCAACAUG